UACGUAGGUGGCAAGCGUUAUCCGGAAUUAUUGGGCGUAAAGAGCGCGCAGGUGGUUGAUUAAGUCUGAUGUGAAAGCCCACGGCUUAACCGUGGAGGGUCAUUGGAAACUGGUCGACUUGAGUGCAGGAGAGGAGAGUGGAAUUCCUAGUGUAGCGGUGAAAUGCGUAGAUAUUAGGAGGAACACCAGUUGCGAAGGCGGCUCUCUGGACUGUAACUGACACUGAGGCACGAAAGCGUGGGGAGCAAACAGGAUUAGAUACCCGGGUA
rnacentral:rRNA from 1 species